rnacentral:tRNA from 1 species
GUGGCUGUAGCUCAAUGGCAGAGCAGCGGGUUGUGAUCCCGCGCGUCUCGGUUCGACUCCGAGCAGUCACCCCA